UGGGGAAUUUUGGACAAUGGGCGAAAGCCUGAUCCAGCAAUGCCGCGUGUGUGAAGAAGGCCUUCGGGUUGUAAAGCACUUUUGUCCGGAAAGAAAUCCUUGGCUCUAAUACAGUCGGGGGAUGACGGUACCGGAAGAAUAAGCACCGGCUAACUACGUGCCAGCAGCCGCGGUAAUACGUAGGGUGCAAGCGUUAAUCGGAAUUACUGGGCGUAAAGCGUGCGCAGGCGGUUUGCUAAGACCGAUGUGAAAUCCCCGGGCUCAACCUGGGAACUGCAUUGGUGACUGGCAGGCUAGAGUAUGGCAGAGGGGGGUAGAAUUCCACGUGUAGCAGUGAAAUGCGUAGAGAUGUGGAGGAAUACCGAUGGCGAAGGCAGCCCCCUGGGCCAAUACUGACGCUCAUGCACGAAAGCGUGGGGGAGCAAAACAGGAUUAGAUACCCCUGGUAGUCCACGCCCUAAAACGAUGUCAACUAGUUGUUGGGGAUUCAUUUCCUUAGUAACGUAGCUAACGCGUGAAGUUGACCGCCUGGGGAGUACGGUCGCAAGAUU
rnacentral:rRNA from 1 species